UUUUGUAAAUACUAUUAUUUUUUUAUCUUUUUACUUUAAAUACAUAAUAUAACUUGACAGCAUUUUGUUUUCUUUUCUAAAAUAUAUCGUAUAUUAAAUAACAAAAUUUUAUUUGUCGGUAAAGCUAGAGGUUCCGAGAAUAAGUCUUUAAGUAUACCUUACAUGAAGAAUCAUAUAUUUUUCGUUUUAUUUUCUUUUUGUUUGGCGCGCGUGUGUGCUCGAUCGCUGGUCAAUAGGAGCACUGACCCAUGCUCCAUUACCAAACGAGCCACUUGCAACAAACAAGUGUGCCUUCAAGUACAACUCUUCAUAUAAUAACUCUUAAUCCAAUUUAUAUCUGGAGUAACUAUUUUUUUCUUUUCUUUUGGAGUUUUUGGGUGUGCUCGUAUUCCAUGGUCGGUGGGAGCUCUGACCCAUGCAGCCAUGCUCAUAUACCAACGAGCCACUUGCAACAAACACGUUCAGUAACAGUUAUCAUAUUCUUGUAAAAAAUAUUUAAUCAACCAGGCCAAACUUCAAAGUGGUUUUAGGCUUUUAGUGCUUAACAAAGGUUGUUUUUUGUGUAUUCCAAUUUUGUUUUUCAGUAAUUAAGUGGUUAAAAAAUAAGUGGUUAAAGACAAGAUAUUUCAAAGACUUCUUACAAACACAUUAGACCAUGAAUAUCAGGGGUCCUUAAUAAGGGUUUUAAACAAAAGUAAUGAUUUAAUUAAAUCAAAAUUAAUUAAAAGGAGAAUAAUUGAUCUUUAGCUUAGGUUUUUUGUGAUCGAUUUUUAGGGUGGUUUCCAACCACGUGUCAGCAAAGCACUGGACCUAUUAUUUUUUCCUUUUUUUUCUUUCUUUUGUUUUAUCACCGAUUCAUCUUCUUGUUUUCUCCGUAAGACGAAAGAGGCAAAUCGACAACCUCUCCUCCGACUUCUCCGUCGAAACCGAGGACGACUCUCUUGGUCCUAACGGAGUCUCGUCCCACUUGUCUCGUCUUCUUCGUCAGGAGAAGUACCCAAAGCCACGACGGACGACGACUCUGUCGGUGUUGACGGUGUUUCCUCCGUCUCGCUCACGAUCUCUUCAAUUUGGAGAUAAGUUCCCAAAUAUUUAACUUCACCUCAUCCUUCUCAUUUCAGUUUCAACCUUGUCGUUUCAAUAUCUCGGGUUACGAUUACGGUUUUUUAGUUUUGUGAGUAAUUGUAAAGGUUUGGUCUUUGAUCGACGAUUGUAGGCUUCUUACAUGUUUAUUGGGUUUUUUCUGAUUGUUUAGUUAAAAAGUCAUGAGGAAACACUGAUUGUUUAUUGGUGGUUAAGGUGAAACAGGUUUGUAAAAUGUGUAGAUCAGAUCAGACAUGAGCUUUGAGUGUAGAGUAAUUUGGUCUGAAAUCGCUGUAGGUCGUCUUCUGAUCUGUUCAAGUUGACAGGAAGUUAAGAGUGUCGUGUAGUGUGAUCUGUUUUCUAGCUAGAUCAUCUUCUAAUUUGUUCAUAUUGACUUACUACGGUAGUAGGAGAACAAUAGUGUAUUGCUUCCUAUUGCUUUUGAUUUGGUCAUUGCUUUUCUCGUUUCAUGUACCAACCGUGACUUGUUUCCAUUGAUUUGUUAUGAAUAUGCAGAGACUUGUGUUUGAUUAUACGGUUAUUUGGUCAUUGUUAUGAAUAUGCUUUUGAUUUGGUUAUUGUUAUGAAUAUGCUUUUUAUUUGGUUAUUUGUGAAUGCUAAUUAGGGUAGGUUAUACAACUAAAAUAAUUGAUUUAUAUUAUUUGGUUUGUAGUGGUUUGCAUUGAUGAAUCAUGUGAGGAGGCAAAGAUCAGAAUGAGGAGCCGAAGACAGAUCAGAAUGAGGAGCCAAAGACUACUUGAGACUCUCGAGAGACAAAGGCUUGUGGAUCUUGUCCCUGGAAUGCAACUCCCUCUUUGUCGACAAAGCCGUUGCUAUCAUUUUGAGAGUUGUUGAAGCUUGAAGAUUUGAUUGAACAACUAAAGUCAGUGGAAGUCACGGGAUUGUUUGUAUGUUGUUUGUAUGUCACGAGUAUGUGUAAGUAUGUGUCUGGUCAGUGGAAGUCACGGGAUUGUUUGUGUCGAGUUUUGUAUGUAUGUGUCACGAGUAUUGGCUUCCACUGUAUG